rnacentral:rRNA from 1 species
GACAGAGGAGCCAAGCGUUGUCCGGAUUGACUGGGCGUAAAGCGCACGCAGGCGGAUGCGCGCGUGGGGUGUGAAAUCUGGCCGCUUAACGGCCAGGCGCCAUCCCAUACGGCGCGUCUGGAGUGAUGCAGAGGUCGAUGGAAUUGCCGGUGUAGUGGUGAAAUGCGUAGAGAUCGGCAGGAACACCCAGGGGGAAACCAGCCGGCUGGGGACGUGCUGACGCUCAGGGGCGAAAGCGUGGGGAGCGAACCGG